AUACAGGGGGUGCGAGCGUUAAUCGGAAUUACUGGGCGUAAAGAGUACGUAGGCGGUUGCUUAAGUCAGAUGUGAAAGCCUCGGGCUCAACCUGGGAACUGCAUUUGAAACUGAGUGACUAGAGUUUAAGAGAGGGGAGUAGAAUUCCGGGUGUAGCGGUGAAAUGCGUAGAGAUCCGGAGGAAUACCAAUGGCGAAGGCGGCUCCCUGGCUUAAAACUGACGCUGAGGUACGAAAGCGUGGGUAGCAAACAGGAUUAGAAACCCGAGUAGUCC
rnacentral:rRNA from 1 species